AAUUAUUAGUACCGUUUUAAUGCGAGGUUUCAUCAUCUUUUUUUCUACAGGUUUCAUAUAUAGAUGUGAUGUAAUCCAGUUUAACUUCUCUAACUGUGGACUGGACUUCUGAAAAUGAUAGAGAAAAUCUUUAAACCAAUCAAAGACGGCUUAGUCGUCCAUGGUGAAACUUUGGCAAAAGGUUAUACUGAUGGUCUCACAACCUUGGGUACGUAUGUCGGUUUAGGGAUCAUUGUCGGCGGGAUCAGUUUGACCAUCGGCCUUGGACUGAUAGCUUUUGCCGUCCACCAUCAUAACAUACAACCACCACCGCAAGAAACAUACCGCACUAACAAUCCAGAACACUAUUAACUCUAAUAAGAACUAUAAUUAAUAAUGAAUCAAUCUCCAAUUAUCACUUCACUUGUGUACUUUGUAUUCUUGACAGUUAUUACGCAUGCGCAAGCGAGUACACAGUGUGUUUGUCUGCAGGGGCGUAGGGAGGGGCAGGGCUUUGGGGGCUGGAGCACCCCUUCCUUUAGUCUGGGUGUGGCCAGACUGCCCUCCCUUCUUUGAAACCACACCUUUUUGGGGAAGGGGUGUGUGGGUAAGACUACACCCUUUCCCUGAACCGCUAUUAAUUCAAGGAAUGUUAGUGGAGCACUGGACCAUAGGAGACAUGUCAGGGUCUCAACCGGAGGUGGCUCUGAACGAACAACGAUAGCAGCCUCCCUGACCUUCCCCCUCUCCAGCAGUCAGUCACACCCACCUUACACCUCCCAGCACUCUCGUUCGGAUUCUACGUCUUUAAAGACACCAAAGCAAAGGCUUGUAUGUGAUCAAGUGCUGCAACUACACUGUUACAGUGUACAGAACU